UACGUAGGGGGCUAGCGUUGUCCGGAAUCAUUGGGCGUAAAGCGCGUGUAGGCGGUCCGGUAAGUCCGCUGUGAAAGUCGGGGGCUCAACCCUCGGAUGCCGGUGGAGUACUGUCGGGCUUGAGUACGGAAGAGGCGAGUGGAAUUCCUGGUGUAGCGGGUGAAAUGCGCAGAUAUCAAGGAGGAACACCAAUUGCGAAGGCAGCUCGCUGGACGUUACUGACGCUGGAGACGCGAAAGCGUGGGAGCAAACAGGAU
rnacentral:rRNA from 1 species